AGUUUUAUAGUCAAAAUUUAAUGAUGUUAGACUGCAAUUCUAAAGGUAUACAAUUAUGUAUUAAAGCUU
rnacentral:tRNA from 1 species